UAAUGCGAGAAGGUUCGCCAAAAGCGCGUGGAUGACCCGGAAAUUCAAUGACCGAAAGGGCGUUAAUUUGCCCGAUGCGUUCGCCUUCGGUUUCAAUCAGGAUUUGCUCCUGAAGGAUCUCAUCCU
rnacentral:misc_RNA from 1 species